rnacentral:rRNA from 1 species
UACGAAGGGGGCUAGCGUUGUUCGGAUUUACUGGGCGUAAAGCGCACGUAGGCGGAUUGUUAAGUCAGGGGUGAAAUCCUGGAGCUCAACUCCAGAACUGCCUUUGAUACUGGCAAUCUAGAGUCCGGAAGAGGUGAGUGGAACUCCUAGUGUAGAGGUGGAAUUCGUAGAUAUUAGGAAGAACACCAGUGGCGAAGGCGGCUCACUGGGCCGGUACUGACGCUGAGGUGCGAAAGCGUGGGGAGCAAACAGG